rnacentral:tRNA from 1 species
GCCGGCUUAGCUCAGUUGGUAGAGCAGCUGAUUUGUAAUCAGAAGGUCGCGGGUUCGAUUCCUGCAGUCGGCGCCA